UGAGGAUAACAAAGAGCGAUAAGGAAUGGAUGUUGUCUGCAUGCUGUAUGUUUAUGACAGUUGGCAAUGGGCUUUGUUGCAAGGAUAGGUUCCUGGGUUAGUGUUUUUGUGGGGAAAUGACCAAAAGCAAGGAUUUGGAAUAGAAAACUAGUUGAAAAUUGCAUGAGAAUAAGCUAGACAAUUCAGCUUUGUCCUCUGCAUUGAACUGUACAAGUUUGGGGAGGACCAGAGGGAAAUCUGAUGUUAAUUUAAGUAUUUAAACUUCAUUUAAAUGUAAAAUUGAACAAAACCUGGAAGCCACUAGGACGCCUUCUGAAUCUACUGUCCAAGCCCUCCCCCACUUCCUAGCACAGAGAAGAGUCCAGCCCUUUGACUUUUACUUUCAUCUUUCUGUAUACUUCUAGGAAAGAGGAGAAAGGAGUCAAAGGACAGUACCAGUUUGCAGGGAAGAAGGACCACAUGGCCCAGGAGCGAGAGUCUAGAAGGAGAACUGAGGAAUGACUUGGUUAUUUUAGUGGUUUGUGAUCUUUAAUGUGAUGGAAUGAAAACUGGAAGUUGGAAUUCUACAAGACAUGGCCAUGGAUGCAGACACAGAACUCUUGGAAAAGAUUAGUCUGAACGAAUCUGCCUCCGAGAUGGGGGAGGAAGAAGGAAAAGUCUUGGGAAACAACAGUAACCAUGCUGCACCAUCCCUGAUCUCCAGCCUCCAGGAAGGGGCCUCUGCACUGAAUACUUACACAGCAGAGGAGGAGAAGAGCAAAACACCUCCAAAGAACAAGGGCCAGAUCAUUUUUCAUGACCACAUAUAUCUGAAAUGGGUUGAAUGGGAAGGGUCAGUUCCAAGGGGGGCAGUUUCCAUCUGGAAUGAGGAGGCAUCUCGCACAGACUAUUUCUGUGCAGAGGCAGGAUGUUCUGUUGGGUUUUUCAAUGAAAGUAAAGGUCCAUAUUGUUACUACCCCUAUGCUGAUCAAGAACAUCACACCUCAAACAUCAGAAUGUUGGUAAAUGAGGAUAACGUUGAAGUGCUAGAGUGGAAGGAAGAAUCAUAUGGCUCCGUUCCACCAAAGUCAGUUCCAAGCUACCCAGGAGUUAACGUUUUUGUUGGUAAGAAUUGUUAUGGCUUAGGGAAAGUAGUCCCUAGAUGUGAAGCUUUCUUCUUACCUCAUAAUGGCAAAGAGAAGUGUUACAAAGAAUAUAAAGUUCUGACUGCUAACACUCCCAGGAGAUAGCAAAAGUUCAGUAUUUAAUAAAUAAGGCAAAAUUUUCUUACUGGCCAAUUCCAAUCUUAACAAUGUCCAAAAUCCUUAACAAUUUUCAAAAUAUAAAAGAAACCAUGACUAAUGAGCAACAUUGUAACAUUGGUCACCCAACUUGUGACAGGUUCAGUCAGAGAGACCCCUCUGUGACUGUCAUUUGAUAUGCUGAAACUACCUCUGAGCUCAUUUACCCUGUAGGUUUCAGGUGUAAUCUGCAACUGCUUCAAAACAAGUUCCUUAAAUUUACCAUAGUUUGAAGCAUCAGCAAUAGGCAUCUUAUUAAAUAUGUCCAGAGCUCUCCCAGUCAAUUUUGCAACCAAAGUGGUCAUUUUUUGAUCUUCAGGAAUCUCAUGGAGAGUACAUAGUCUCUCAAAGGUGAUGAAAUAUUCGGCAAUAUAACUGGAUUCAUCAUACUGUGAGCAUAAUCGUUCCCAUUUGUGGAUUUUUGUGGAAUUAGAGCCAGCUGCUGAAGGGUUUUGUCUCUUCCACUCUAUUACAGCCAGUUCAUGUUUCUGUGUCUCAAUUUGGGCCUGUAUUUCUGUCUUUUAAUUCCAGGGCAGCUUUUUGUGCUUCAAUUUCUUUAUCUUUUAAGUCCAGGGCUUGCUGGUGGGCAGCUUUUUGUGCUCCAGUUUGAGCCUGUUUCUGGGCCUCCAUGGUUUCCCUGGCUGCAGCUGCUUCUUUGAGCCUCAGUUCUGCCUGCCACAUUUGAAACUCAUGGUCCUUUGCCUUUUCUUCCGCUUCCAGUCUGGCCAGCUCUAGUUUUGUAGCUGCCUUACUGGUAGUCAUUUUCCUGCUUUCUUGUACUUAUUUCCCUCACCCGAAAUAAACAAACAGAAAAUAACA